GUAGGGGUGCCUGAUGAGAAAGGGGUGCUGGUUCUUCCUUACAUCAUAUCCCCUGCCUGUCCCAGCCGGGCUCUGACUCAGCCAGCAGACUGGAGUCCUCUUCUGCAUGAUAAGGAAACUGAGGCUUAGAGAAGUUAUGAAACUGCCCAAGGUUUCACAGCUGAAAUGUAUAAGGUCCUGGACUUGCAAAUUUGGCACAAAAUUCUUCUAAUAAGGAGGCCAUAAAAUAACCAAAUGAUUUUUUAUGUGCCUAUAGAACCAAAAGAACUAUUUCAGAAUGUCAGCUGAAAUGCAUGAUAUUUCAGAUAGCUUAGAAACCUUGGCAUAGUGCCUUCUCGGAAAGCCUGGAUUACAUCUAAAACCAUGUGGCAGAGGGAGAAACCAGAGACAGGCCAUCCUGAGAAGACUCAGGCUGGGAUGAAAGCUCUGCUCUCCAGGGACAAAGUGGCAGGGGACCAGUCAUGCUCUGAGAUACUCCACUGGGCUGUGAACAUUAUUCUGAGCAAUUUCACUUGCUUUCACACCACCUGCCCCCAAACACUUCUAUUAUAGUGGCAAAUAAAUCUGAUACCCAA